UUCUCUGCAAGCCAUGAUAGAUGUGCAGCGCUCUGGCGUUCGACUGUUCCAAUGUUCAAAAAUAAAAGGAAAAAAAGUCAAAAGCAGCACUUGAUGAGCUCUCACCGGCUCGAUUCAUGGCCAUGGGGAUUUGCUCGAAUCUACCCACUCACCGGGCCCCUCCUCCGCAGCCAAGGCUGCUCCAUUCCAUUGCUUCUUUUCACCGCUUUAUCUGCACUUUUGUCUUGACCCGGCGCCUGCAAUAAUAAAAAUAAGAAACAAAUAAAUAACCAUACGCAUGGAUAUUUUAUUUUCAAGAUAAGGCUGCAGCUUCUCUGAGCAUUUGCUCAUGCUGAAUGAUUUCUUUUCUUUCUUUUUUUAUAUCUACCAGGUAUGGAUUUCGGGAGGUCAAAUGAGCAGAGGCUGCUGCUGGCCAGGAGCAAGAUGCCCUUCACACCUUCGCAGUGGAUGGAGCUGGAGCACCAGGCCCUCAUAUACAAGUACCUCAACGCGAAGGCCCCCAUACCCUCCGGCCUGCUCAUCUCCAUCAGCAAGAGCUUCAGACCCUCCUCCGAUAGAAGUAAGCAUCCUGCCAAAAAAACAUGUACCCACAUCUCAUUUAUAUUUCACCGAGGUACAAAUGCAACAGAUACGACUGCCUGUAAAUGUGAUGCAGUAAAAGAUCUGUCUUG
rnacentral:lncRNA from 1 species